UUUGGUCAUAUAUAGCAUUUAUUUACACUUUUCUAUUUACAGAUCUUUGUUUCAAAAUUCAUUCUCUGUACACGUAUUUUUAAAAAAAGAAAAGAAAAUCACGAUCACUCUCCACUGUAUGAGAUUCACACUUUCACAUGUCUUAGUCAGAAGUCAGAAGGGAAAGAGGACCAGUCGUAGUUUGGUCAGAAACAUUUGAACAUCUCUGAAAAGAAACCGAGCAACAGUAAAAUACAACCCCCAAAAAAAGGCUUUAGGAGGCAGACCAAACAUGUUAGGUCAUGCCCCAUGAGAUGCUGACUGCAACGUCCAGUGUGUGUGUGUGUGUCCGAGGCCUCCAGCCAGCAGACGGACACCUGGUCACCACCGUAACCAUGGCAACCCAGGGCCUUUGACUUUUACCGAAGGUGUGUGUAAGGGUUGUUCGGUACAUCAAACCAAGUUGAAACACAUAAGGACACCAGAGAAGGCAGCUGCUAGACUUACUGAUGUGAUUCUGUGGACUCAUCGAGUGCGUCCCAAAUGGCACAACUUAAUAGGCUCAUGUAAACAGUAUAUAUAAAAAGGGAGAGAGAGACAUUUGUUUCUUUUAAAGCUGAUUCCAAAUAAUAUAUUUCGUACAAAAAAAGGGAAGAAAAUGGACUUUUAUCAAGUGCAGUUUUUAAAAAGUUUCUAAUCAACGUGAGAAUAGGAAAUUGGACCUGGAGCUGACAUGGAGCGCAAAAACAUUACCGACAAGAUCAAAAGAAGUUGAGGAGGUUCAAAUACAGAGUAUUAAGCUGCCCCAUCUAUACACACACUCCCAACCCACAUAAACACACACAUCAUGCAACAAUUAUUGGUCUUCAUCGUUACUUGGCAGGAUGUUUUUGACGAUAAAAGUUCUACAUAUUAUUUCAACGUCUAAUUUACAUUGUAUAUCCACCCUCUACACAAGGGGUAUAACAACUCUUAACCCACGUGGGCCGGAGCCUGUUGGUUUUCUGUUCUACCUGAUAAUUAAUUGCACCCACCUGUUGUCCCAGGAUUAAAUCAGUCCCUGAUUAGAGGGGAACAAUGAAAAAUAGGAGUGAAACUGGGUUGAUUCCAGAGUUGUGUUUGAGAGCUCUACACCAGGAAAAAACAAACUAAUCACAAUUUGGUACAUCAAAUAAAAACCCUAAGCAGUCAAAUGAAGGCAAAUGGAGAGCGUUAACGUAUUCCACCCUAACAUCCCCAGUCAGUGUUCCUGAAUAGACUGAAUAACUGAAUGGGCCCUAGUUCUGGGCUAUGGUCAGUUACAAAUUGUCGUAGUCCAGAAGUUUUUUCUGACCACAAAACUCAUGGUCCUACUUCUGGGUUUUGAGGAGUAUUUUUUUAACCAUUUGUACACGCAUGGAAAUUUGACUAUAUGGAUACGGCCAACGUGAAAUGUUUCUUAGAGAAGAAAUAUGAAAAGCAUAUGCAUAACCAUGGUAGCAGUUGAAAGGGAACAGGAGAUUAUGGGAAAAUGAGUACACUUGAUUUGAUGUGCAUUCUACAUUUACUGUACUUUCACUGCAUUUGUUGAUAAAAUCCGAAAAUACUCUGGAUAUAUUCAGUAACAUAAGUACAUUCCUGGAAAAUGUGUGGUAGGUGCAACACAAGACAAAAAAAAUGACAAGGGUUUGAGUGAGAGGACUAACUGGUGUCUCCUUGUGGCCAUGUACCUCUCCAAAGUGUGCAUAGUUCCUAGGUUAUUUCAAAGCACUUUAAUGACUCAAAGAAGAGUCUUCAACGAUAAGGUGCCUUUCAUGAGCUCUCCUAGCUGUGCCGUCGAGGAACUAAAUAAACACUUGUGUUUGGAACACAACCCUGCAUCCCCAUCAUCACACAAUUACUAUUGUUGUUAACGCAAUCCAAAAACGCUCCAUUCAUAAAUUGCAAUCUGGGUCAGGUGGGCGUCAUUUGAAAGCUUGUUCUAUUGCCAAAAUGACUAGCUAAGUUAUAAAAUACGAUGUUACUUGCUUUCAGAAUGCAAUGUAUAAUCCUGGUGCACAUAGAACGGAGUCUUGAGUGCAUUCAGGUGCGUGUGCCGCGGCAAAUUUUCUUCAAAACAGACAUAUUAGGCUCAUUCGGUUCAGAACAACCCAGUGUAUGACGCCACAUCAUCUUGUAACUGUACAUCAAACAUAGUGAUCAGAAAUGUUGACACUGUGUAUGACAUUAGUUUUAUGAUAUGGAAGUGUGAAGUGCACAUUUGGACUCACGGGUGUUUGGCACGAUUAUGACAUCAAAGCGGUAUUUCUCAUCUUUCAAAAUGUACAGCAAUUCCCUCACUCAAGACAAAAAAAAAAAGUAUUUUUUUUUGGUGUUUAUUUUACCAGGUAAAUUGACUGAAAACACAUUCACAUUUGCAACAAGGUCGCGCAAGGUGCUCAAGUUCAGAAUGUCCGUCAGUCAAAACCCAUACAGUGCUGACAUGUUACUGUACAGCCACUGCAUUACAAUUGAGUUGUUUAUUAGUGCCCAAAUCUGCCAUUACCAACCCGUAUACAUACAGGUACGAGUUUUCUGGCCAUGUGACCACACUAGAAAAUCUCCUGGCCUAAAAGGUGACUGCUCACCACUGCACGGUGCAGUAUCAAUUAGGUAGUGAGUCCUAGGUUCAGAGAUGAUCGUACGUCAGGCAGAGUCACGCGACACUCGUCCCUCCCUCAGCCAACCGACAAAUAUUCCAUAUCUUACAUAAUAUAGUUCAGCGAGUGUUGUUAGACACAUCAUUAGAUCCAGCCCUGCGGACCAUGUCAGAGUCAGAACGAAAUCAUUCAUAACAAUAAGAUACUUCCUGAUCUAAUUAUUCAAUGUGUUUCUGUUUUGAACUGAAACCUACUUGUCUCUGGGGGAUUGACUGCUUGUUUUGAACUGAAACCUACAUGUCUCUGGGGGAUUGACUGCUUGUUUUGAACUAAAACCUACAUGUCUCUGGGGGAUUGACUGCUUGUUUUGAACUAAAACCUACUUGUCUCUGGGGGAUUGACUGCUUGUUUUGAACUAAAACCU
ensembl:lncRNA